rnacentral:rRNA from 1 species
GAACGAGACCUUAACCUGCUAAAUAGCCCGUAUUGCUUUGGCAGUACGCUGGCUUCUUAGAGGGACUAUCGGCUCAAGCCGAUGGAAGUUUGAGGCAAUAACAGGUCUGUGAUGCCCUUAGAUGUUCUGGGCCGCACGCGCGCUACACUGACGGAGCCAGCGAGUACUUCCUUGUCCGAAAGGUCCGGGUAAUCUUGUGAAACUCU